ensembl:processed_transcript
AAAGCAGAUUAUUGUGCCUCUGUGCAGUGAAUACAGCCAGAGUAACCUUUUGUCUACAAUUAAAUAUUCUAGCAUAAAUAUAAAAGAAAAUCAGAGAUGGGAAAGAUUGACUCACAAGAGAUUGGAGAGGUAGAUCCUCACACUGAUAGCGAAGCAGCAGCUUGCUUCUAAUUAAAUAUGCGGCUGACUCUCCAUGCUCUCGCUCGCUAGCAGCCGCACAGAGGAGAAGCGGCUGAGGAGAGGAAGGAAGGAGUCUAUCACAUCAUCUCUCUGUCCACAGGCUUUCCUUGGGGCUUAUGAAGGUAUUUUAGAAUUUUUAUAUUGGCAUUUUUUUUUUCAGGGGAGAUAAAGGUGGUGAACCCUCAAGGGCAGCCAGACCUCAGUCUUGAAAGUUUAGGCUUGCUUGCUGUUCAGCAGCUGAGCUUCCUAGAUCUCUUCCUAGUCAGAAACCAAGGUUGAUAGUGAUGACUUUGGUUUUGAGGGUUGAAGCCAUCCAGUUAGGUAGGCUGCAGUGCAAAGUGACCUUUUUUGUUAUUUUGAAUUGGGGCUACUUAUUGAUUUUCCUCUUCUUUAGCCUAUCGCAUGCUAAAGUCUUUAAUGCAUAUUUCGCUAUUUGUACCUUGAGAGUAUGAACCCAGAAAGCCAAAUUCCAGUUAGUAUCCUUUAGCUGUGUCUAACAGAAUGCAUUUUAGAAAAAUGAUAAGGCUUGCAGUUGGACUCUUGGAUUUAUUGAUAUUCAUAAGCCUUUCAUCUUCAUGCACACUCACGCGUCUUCAGAGAAGUACUUAAACAUGGCACUCGGAAAACGCUGAUGGCACGGAAUAGGGCUGAUCCUCUUAGAGUCUGCUGCUUACACAGAAAAACUGGAAAAUAAUAAGAACUGAAAUCUCUACUCUGUAACUUUGCCUUUCCAUCCCAGGUCUUGACAUUAUGGAGAGGAGUGGGUUCCCUCCGAGGGCUGUUGCCUGUUGCGUGUCUGAUAUGCACAUAGAACCUUUCCCCGUUUGUAGGUGCAAUUUGUGUUCGGUUGUGAAAAUACUUGAUUGCAGAUGGGUUUGAAACAACAUUGGAAUUCAGUAGGCUUUUCCUUUGUGUAUUUACUGUACUAAGUGUUCCCUGGGUUGUGAUUUUGAAUACAAUCAGACACCUGGUGCCUUUUGGAAGCGUGCCACUGAGAAAGGCUCCAUAUUUGUAAAUUAAUAGUUUGUACCACUCAAAAAAAACCCGAUUGGGGCAAUAAUUGAAUGUUAGGAAUGGAGCUUACAUUUUUUUCCACCUUGUAAGAUUUCCCCUUUUAAUAAGCAAAUUUCUCAAGUAACAGGCUCCACUGAAGGGAGGCAAACUCCCAAUAAGUCUUACUGUGCUAUUUGCCUUUCCUCUGAUUAGCGUAAAGAGUGUGUUCAAUGCAGUGUUUAAUAAGGACUGUUUAAGCCAGGGUUCAAACUUAGCCUUCUGUAGGACAUAGGGAAAUGUGUUUGGUAUCAUCACAGUUUGAUGAUUUAAGAAGUUAAAAAUGUGACAGGCAUAUUCCAUAAGGGUAGCAGUCUUUGUAACAAUUUACCCUUCCUAAGUGUGGUCUACAAUAGCCAACCAGGCUUUGUGUGUUUAAAGUGGAGUUCUCCACCUGGGAUCAAGUGUAUGGUAGAGAUGUAAAUGUAUAGCUGCAUCUAUCUCGUAUGCCUAUGUAAAAUGUAGUUUGUAUCUCAUAUUACCUAUACAAUUUAAGCACACUGUUUGUUUUGGUUUGGUAGGAAUUAAGCAUGCUGGUAUUUCUGGGGAGAAGGAUGUUUCUAUAAAAAGGUAUUUCCUCCCCCUGGGUGAGAGAUACCAUAGUGAUCAAGUGCUAAUUCUCUGGCCAGAAAUAAAUAAUAAUAGCAAGCAAACAAAACCAAAGAAACCAGGAAGCAAAGAGCACCGACAGCUCCUAUAAAAUGAUGACGCCGACCUUCAACCUCCACCGACAACUGCGAGGUUUCAUACUUGAAUGUAUCCUUCUUUUCCACUUCAAAUGUGCAGUUGCCUUUGAUAUAUAUUUGUAUCGUAAGUUAUUUAGCGUGCAACUGGCCGUGUCUCUGUUCUUUUGAAGGAGUGUGUUUAUGCUCUGAUGAGAGCACGGAUAAACCGUUGAGGUAUUUCCGAAGUUGUCUGCCUGCGAUGGGGAAAGGUGAUUUGCUUAUGCAAAUGAAAGACGACUGCUCUGCCAGCCCUGGCUUUUCCUGCUCUGCUCGCCUUUCCCAGUUUUACUUUUGAUUAACACAAAACAAGAGAUGAGCUGUCACCUCACCUGUGAAUAUGUUAUUUUCAGCAAAUCCGAAAUCAAACCGAGGUUCUGGUUACUUUGAUUUUAUUUAUUGUUUUCUUUAGAGAUGCUGGUGAUCUAGAAACAUUUAUGCUUAAAAAACAAGUUUCAUAAUGACUACUUCAAAAUGCCUAGAAACUUUUCUCAUCCGAUAUCAGGGUUAAGGCAGUGAGUUCCAACCACGGAUUCAGUGUAGGCUCCGAGAGGAUGCUAAUGAUAAAGUAAAGCCCACCUGAAGCACCACGGGCAGGAAGCACCGUGCUUUCUCCCAGUUCCUUAUCAAUGCUUGCUGUUAGCAACACUUUGUUUCUAUCAUUAUUUUUCU